CGUAGGAGUCCACGGCAUUUGGAUUUUUAUCGUAGAAACGUGUCAGCUGAUUGCUCUCUCGAUAUACUGAAGUAAUUAUAAAAGUUGUCUUCAAUAUGUUUGAAAUUUUCUAAAAAUAACACAAAAUCAGAGUCGAAUACUAUUAUUUAUAAAUAUAUAAACUAUUUUUAAUAGUUUCUUUACAGUUUUGAUAUUUUAUUUUAUAAAAAAUUGUAAUUGAAAACAUAGAUGUGCUCAAAACUAUAUAUGCGUAUUGAGCAAUGGCAGCAUUGUUCAAAUGUAAACAAACGCCAUUCAAACAAACGUCAAACCAAAAAUUUAUUCGAUCUAUUCAAAAAGGAAAAUACAUGUGCAAAUAUAUAAACAAUGGAUGAGCAGUCCAUACUAUAAGCUGCAAUCGAGAAAAGAUGCCUUGUGGAAUGAAAUCGGGAGAGAUAUGAACGAGAAAUGUGUCGCCGUAGAUGGCUAACACUUCGUAACCGGCACGGGAGGGAAGUGCGAAAGGCUAACGCCCCCUCAGGCAGGCAGGAUGGAAAUCCAAAGGCAGUGGCAUUUGUUGGAGGCUAUAAAAUUCCUGAAGCCACAUAUUGUACCACGACCGGUUAGAUGCUCACAAAAUAUUUGUGAAACCGCUGUCUGUGAUGAGGUCCCUUGUCGCCGUUAAUCCCUAUUACAAUAUCAACGAUUAUUUUGGCGCCGCGUUUUGAUGGUACGGAUGGAUGGAAGAGGUCCGCAGGUGUUCAAAAUUGAACAUGUUCGUUGCUGCCAAAGGACGGACAACAACAUUAUAUUUAAAAACGUUUAUAUAUUAUUAAAUCUUACUAUUGAUACAGUCCACUAUUAUUAGAUAUCUAUGUUCAAAUAUAUUGAACAUACAUGCACAUAAACAUAAACACAUACUAAAAAUGCAUUGUCAUGCAAAACAAUAGCAUUCAACAGACAAUAACACAAACAUUACAAAGGAUAAGAUGUUUACAUAUGAUAACCCAUGGGUUCUUAGAAUACAUUGUAGCAACUGUCUGUAAAUGUACUCACAUUAAAACAAAUCCAAGGUCACACAACAUGUGCACUUGAAAACAAUACCAUACCAUGUAUGUAGCAUAAACAAUAUGCUACAUAUAGUACAUAUGAACAUACACACAUACACAUAUAUUAAGAUAGUUAAGAUAGUUCUUAAAAUUGUAUAUAAAUAAGUGAAAAUUCUAAAUAAAAUCAGAAUGAAAGAUUUCUCACUCAACAAAACAUUGUUUUGAAUUCCCCCCCACCAGAGGUAAGGUUUACAAGAAGGCUUUGUUGAGAUUUAAAUAUUUGGUCCUUCGAGCCGGAUUGUAGCUCGAGCCAAAAUUGUAAGACCUGUAUAAAUAAAAUACAGGCAAUAUAUUAUAUGUAAAAGUCCUAUUAUAUAUGUAUGUAUAGGCAAUAUAAAAGCCCUGUUAUUUACACAGGCAAAUAAAUAAAGAAAUUGUAAGACGGGUCCAUAUUCCCGCGUAUUUAUAAAAUCGCAUAAGCCGUUUUAGUACGAAACUAAACGCUGUGUAUAAACUGUUAUUUAAAAAAAAUAUUCUGCGGCUGUGAAUCGAGGCACAGCAAGGUCAACCAGGCGACCAAAACAAUUACCUCCAACGAUUUUUUUUUAAAGAAUAAAAACAGUUCAUUAAAAAAAUAGUUGAAAUGUCGAACACUGCGGACAUGUUACAAAGGAGAGCCGAAGAUUAUACAAAUCGAGUCCAGGAGGAUAAAAUGAUAGACCUCAUAGAGCGUAUAAUUGAAAAAAGAUCGGAAAGAAUUCGAUCUACAAUUGCAGAGGCAAAAAUAAAUAUAAAUUCUAGAGUCGCACAUGACAUCGAACAUUUCGAAAAACGUCUCAAGAAUUUAUGGAGCAAUAUGGAACGAAAUUUCCACGAAUUGCAACCCUAUUACAACAAUCCUGAUAUUAUUCUUGAAAUAGAAGAUCUUUCUUUUUGUGUCACUUACAUUUUGAAAAAAUUAAAGACACAAAAAGAUAAUUUGGAAAAUAGUAAAUAUGAGCUACGCGUAGAAGAUAAGUAAUAUAUAUUUAAUUACACUGUACACAUUCACAUAUAUCCAAAAUUUACCCUAAUUGUAUAUUUUUAUGAAAAUAAAUAUACUUUAAAAACUA